GAUGAACGCUGGCGGCGUGCCUAACACAUGCAAGUCGAGCGAACAGACGAGGAGUUUGCUCCUCUGACGUUAGCGGCGGACGGGUGAGUAACACGUGGAUAACCUACCUAUAAGACUGGGAUAACUACGGGAAACCGGCUCUAAUCCCGGAUAAUAUAUUGAACCACAUGGUUCAUUAGUGAAAGACGGUUUUGCUGUCACUUAUAGAUGUUUCCGCGCGGGAUUAGCUAGUUGGUACGGUAACGGCUUACCAAGGCGAGGAUGCGUAGCCGACCUGAGAGGUUGAUCGGCCACACUGGAACUGAGACACGGUCCAGACUCCUACGGGAGGCAGCAGUAGGGAAUCUUCCGCAAUGGGCGAAAGCCUGACAGAGCAACGCCGCGUGAGUGAUGAAGGUCUUCGGAUCGUAAAACUCUGUUAUUAGGGAAGAACAAAUGUGUAAGUAACUAUGCACGUCUUGACGGUACCUAAUCAGAAAGCCACGGCUAACUACGUG
rnacentral:rRNA from 1 species